GUACAAGUUAACUGGGCAGCACAUAUACUAAAAUUAGAAUGAUACAGGGAUUAGCAUGGACCCUGCACAAGGAUGACAUGCAAAUUCGUAAAGCAUUCCGUAUGCAA
rnacentral:snRNA from 1 species